rnacentral:rRNA from 1 species
CGACUCUCGGCAACGGAUAUCUCGGCUCUCGCAUCGAUGAAGAACGCAGCAAAAUGCGAUACUUGGUGUGAAUUGCAGAAUCCCGUGAACCAUCGAGUUUUUGAACGCAAGUUGCGCCCGAAGCCGUUAUGCUGAGGGCACGUCUGCUGGGCGUCACG